rnacentral:lncRNA from 1 species
GCAUUUUCAUGAAGUUCUUCUUGAAUCAAUGUAGGGUAUGGGGCGGAAGCAAUGAAUGAGAGUGAGCAAGAUCCUCCUAAGAGUGGUGUUGAUCUUGUAGGUGCAUGAUAAGUGUGGGUAUUGGGUGGUUCGGCCAGCCCAAGGGAAAAGAUGAAGGAAUUGAAGUUUAGAGCCUAGGAUUCUAGGGAGAAGCAAAGUUGAGCACAAAAUGGCAGCAUAACUUUACUCACAAUAAACUUGGAAAAUACAUGAGAUAGCCUCCCUAUUUAUAGGCUAUUUGGACGUAGGAACUAAGCUAAUACAUAAUGAAAUGUAAACCAAAUGAAAUGCAAAGCCUAGGCCAUGUGCCAUGACCGGUCACACCUAGCAAGGUUCUAGAAUGUUUCCUUCAAAUGUGCUUUCUACACUACCCUAUCUACUAAGUACCCCUAUUGGGCCUUUAUGCAACAUAUACAAGGCUUUUCUCUUCCAUCCGUGGCUUCAUCCACUUGUGCUUGUACAUGCUUAGCCAUUGAUCUUGUGAGAGGACCUAGACGGUCUAGUUCCAUAUCUAGACGCUCCAUGGGUAGCUUCCCUUCUUCACGGCCUAGACGCUCAUUCCUUGGAGCUAGACGCUCUCCUUGGUCUAGACGCUCUUCAUGGUUUGGGCUUUGGCUCCCAUGGCUAGAUGUGCUUGGCCCUCCUCCAUCAUCCCCUCCCCCUUGGAAAGGAUUUGUCC